UUUUAAUGAUCUGAGCCUUUUACUGAAUUAAACCUUGAAGUAUAGAUACAUAAGCUUUUGAACCCUGAGCAAU
ensembl:snoRNA SNORD36 Small nucleolar RNA SNORD36